CUGGGAAUUUUAGGCAGCAUUUUCUUUUCCCUGUUUUUUAUUUCCCCAAACCCCAACUCCCCCACCUCCCUGAAUGAACGGGUUAGAGAAAAUGCACAAUUCGAAGUCUGUAAGAACAAAGUGGCUCAAGUAAACCAACUCGUGGUGGUAGCUAAAAGGGUUUUGGCUGCAAAGAAACAAACUAAUCCUCCUCCGGAUCAGUGUCCAGGAACUUAGAAGAAAUGAUGAUAUUAGGACUUCAGUACUUCUGGAAAAAAAAAUGCAAAUGGUUUAGCCAGGAUCUUUCCUGUCUGAUUCGUCACUAUUAUUAUAUCUGAUGAUGCGAAUGGUUGGAGCGAUUCAAUCUUAAGUCAUUAAUGAGCUAUUUUAUAAACACUACUGUCUGAAGAUCUUCAUUUACAUUUUGCGAAGGAUCACUUCGCUAACCUCACAUGCUUAUGUCAACAGCAUGAUUAUGGGACUUCAGUCACACUCUUAUAAACAACACAGCGGUAUUGUUAAUGGGUUAAUAUUUUAUAAAGUGUAAAUAUUUUAUUAUGUUUUGAAGGGAACUAUUGAUUCUAAAUUAUUAAACCCCUGAGAAGGGUGACUUAAAUAAAGUAUACAAUUAAGUACAAUUAAAUGUACAUUGUGGCUAGUUUGUUUUCAGACUCUGGACCCUUUUAAAUUAAUUGAUUUUCUCAUUAUUAGAAUUUCUUCUUGUCCGUUUUUGAUAGUGAACAAAAUUAUCAUUUUGGGCAAAAGAACUCAAAAUAUAUAAAGGUGCAUUUAGCAUAAAAGAAAAUAUCGGAAACUAUGAGUUAUUACCAGAAAUGUAUUUUGAGUAUUUCCAGAUUUAUAUUUAGAAACACAUUUUACAAAUUUCUUUCGAUUUAAAAAAGGAGAAUUCUAGAAAGUUUUGUGAUAUAUGCCCGGUGUGGUUUUUUUUUUUCCCCUUGAGUUUUGUCCCUAAUAAAGGCCUUUUCUGUUUCAAAUUACAUAAGCUUUUUACUGCACGAUUUUUGUAUUGACCUUAUUUCAACUGAAGUAAGCGAUUAUUUUCACCAUGUUUAAUUUUGACAAUAAGAAAUUUUAAAUAGCAUUUUUAUCUUUUGCUAAGAUUUUCUAGUUUUUUAAAACAGCAAAUAAAUUAUGAUUCAAAAGUUUUGUUUGGUUUCGUUUUAUAUUCCUCAAGUGGUUAUUUCCAAACAUUUUUAAAACAAAAUCACACUCAAGAAAAGAAUUGGUU
rnacentral:lncRNA from 1 species